rnacentral:rRNA from 1 species
GAAUAUUGGUCAAUGGAGGCAACUCUGAACCAGCCAUGCCGCGUGCAGGAAGACGGUUCUAUGGAUUGUAAACUGCUUUUGUACAGGAAGAAAUUAUCCCUCGUGAGGGAGCUUGACAGUACUGUAAGAAUAAGGAUCGGCUAACUCCGUGCCAGCAGCCGCGGUAAUACGGAGGAACCAAGCGUUAUCCGGAAUCAUUGGGUCUAAAGGGUCCGUAGGCGGAUUAGUAAGUCAGGGGUGAAAGUUUGCGGCUUAACCGUAAAAUUGCCUUUGAUACUGCUAGUCUUGAAUAAUUAUGAAGUAGCUAGAAUAUGUAGUGUAGCGGUGAAAUGCUUAGAUAUUACAUGGAAUACCGAUUGCGAAGGCAGGUUACUAAUAAUUUAUUGACGCUGAUGGACGAAAGCGUGGGGAGCGAACA